UCCUUUGAAUUUAGAUUAGACCAGGAAAUGAGGGAUGGGGAAAAGGAUAUAUUUGCAUAUAUAAGUUAAUAGAACAUUUAAUACUAAGAAAUUUGCAUGAUUUCCCUCUGAAGGAGAUUCAGGAAAAGCUUUAUAUGUAAGAGGCUCACCUAAUAUGGAUUGAUAAUUGGGGGUAGGGGUUAAAGUGGAAAGGUGCAGAAAUACAGAGAAAGGGAAUUCAAGUCAUGGAGGAAACUUUAUAAAAGAGAAACUGAGAUGAGAGAUGGAAUGUUUAGUUUGGGAUAUAACAAGCAAAGCAAUUCAGCCAGUAUUUAAAAGUAUGAAUAUAAAAUAAGUCCAAAAAGAUAAGCUAGAGGCAGAUUGUGAAGGGCCUUAAAUGUCAAACUGGAUAUUUUUAUUUUAUUCCAAAGAAAAUAAGGAGUUCUUAAAGUUCUUUUUUUAGUAGAGGAACACAUGAAUUAGGCCAAUUAUUUCAGAACAGAUUGGAGAGAGAUGAGAAUUAAAGCAAGCUUUAUUAGGAGGGUACCACCUUUGUUCCUGGGAGAAGUGAUGAGAGUUUGGUCAAGAGUUGUGGUUGCUUUUUGAGUGGAAACAAGGGGAAAGAUAGGGGACAAUUUUUGUGGAGGUAGAAAUUACAAAAUUUGGCAGAUGAUUAGGAAUAAAGAAGGUUAGAAUAACUGUAAAGUUGGGUACAUGGUAGUUGAGAAGGAUGAGGAUACCUUCAAUCAACCUAAAGAAAUCAGAGAUAGUGGGAUAUAAUGAGUUUCAAUUGGAUAUGGGUACUUGAAAUCACAAAAGAGUGAAAACUUGAAGGUUUCAAUAAGGUUAAAUUGUGCACAUUAAUACCUAGGAAGGUACAUAUAUACCUAUGAAGAUGAUAAUUGAGAUAAUGAAGAUAUCUAUAAUUGAAAUAUUUAAAGUACCUAAAUUACUUGAAUUAUCUAAAGUAUCUAAGAUACUUAAGAACUUUAUCACUAUUAGAGUAGUGAGCAGUAGUAUGUACAGAAGGAAGGGAACAAUAGAGAGAGAAAGGAUUGAUUCCUAACCCCCCCACCCAAAUAAUCAAGGGACAACAAAAAGAAACACCAGGGAAGAAUAGAAAAGGAGAGAUAGAAGUGGGUAAUUUAUUUCACAUGAAGAACACAAGUCAAUACAAUGGAGGAGAAGGGGAUGGUGGGCAAUGCUUAAACCUCAUUCUCAUCAGAAUUAAUAACACCCAUCCUCAGUCAGCUAUAGAAACCCACCUUACCCUAUAGGGAAGCAGGAGUGAAGAGGAAAUAAGAGUAGGUGGGGAGAGACUAAAAAAAGGCAGCAAAUUGGGGUAGGUGGUGAUUGGAAGCAAAACUUUUGUGAACAGGGAAAGGAGGAAAGGCGAGGGAUAAGGGGGAAAUAAGAUGAAAGGAAAUAUGUAAUUAGUAAUCAUAAAUUUGAAUGUGAAUGGGAUGAACUCACCUAUAAAACUCAAGAGGAUCACAAAGUUGAUUCAAAACCAGACACACACAAUAUGCUAUCUACAAAAGGCACAUUUAAAGCAAAGAGAUGCACAAAGUAUAAAAGCAAUGGACUGGAGCAGAAUCUAUAACAUUUGAAUCUAUAUUCAUUGAGAAUCUAUAUAUAAUCUUUGGCUAAUGUGAAAAUAAAAGCAGAGGUAGCAAUCAUGAUCUCAGACAAAUCAAAAGUAAAAACUGAUCUAAUAAAAAAAUGGAUAAGGAAGGAAAUUACAUCUUGAUCAUAUACACUGGAAGGACAUGGAAGCAGCUGUGGCAACUUUCUUUGAUCUCAGCUCCAGAGACAUCCCACCCACCCACAUAUAGAGGUUGAAAGAGUGAACAUCACAGAGUGUACAAGUGCCAGACCCUAUUAAUACAGACUAGACACCUGAUUUAUUGCAGCCUGAAGAGUUAACAGAAGAGGAAUGCAGAAGGAGCACACACUGGUGAAUGUGGUAUUGGCUAUCAUCACCCUUAAGACUGGACCUCCUGGUUACUGUCAAACAGUAAAGUAGACUGACUACUUAUAAUUCUACUAACAGAAUGUCCAGGACCUCUAGUUGAACCACCUGAGGGACAAGAAGAGCUCUGUAUCUAUUUCAACAUGGAAUUGGUGGGAGGCGUGCAAGUCCAGGAGUGAAGAGGAAGAUGGAGACACAUUCUUGGUGGAAUAGACAGUGUGGAAGUCUUAAUGUACUCAAAGAUUUAAGCUUCUGGAAGAAAAACUCAGUAUCUGACAAAAACUGCUGGGAAAACUAGAAAACAGUUUGGCAGAAAUUAGACAUAGACUGAUACUUCAUGCCAUAUGCCAAGGAACAACUAACGAAUCUCUACAAGCAUUUUGGAACCAAAGAAACAUCUACUAAAGAGAGGCCUAUCCCUGAUUGUAAGAGAAAAUGUGUUUUUCGGAACUCAGAUAACUACAUGAGACACUUGAGAUCUGAGAUGAAGUUUUGUUGACAUUGGGGAUAAACUACUAAAAUGCAAAGAAAAAGUCUCAUAUUAAUUUUGUUAAUUGCUAUUAUGUCAUGUUUGUUUUCUGUAAUACUAUAUCUGCAUACUUAGUACAGGGGAUUUAAGAUCAGGACAAUGACACUUUAUUCCAAAAUAUACCUCAACUGGCCUGAUACUUUGCCUCUACCUUUAUUCUAUCUGAAUUGGUGACAAAAUGGGGAUUGGCAACACAUAGUUUCCCUGACAAA